AUUCAUUCUACUAAACCCAUUUUUGUUUUUUCUCUGACUCCCAAGGUUUGCAGCCAUGGGCAAGAGAAAUUGGCCUGGCUUUGACCAUGAGCCAUUCCCUUGGUUUGGGCAGGGCAGACACUCUGAUUGACAAUCCUACCAGCACUGCACACAACAGCAGAGAAGUAAUUCCCCAAAGGGAGGAAAGAGAAAGGAAUGUUGAGAAGACAUCAGACUAGAAAGAAGCAAUGUGAUCACAUCUUACUAGAAAAAUGCCUCUGGUGGCAGUGGGAGGAUGAAAUAGAAGAGAUCUGGGUUGAACAUACAUGACUGAUUUGUGUCAGGUUCUGAAAGAGAACUAUGGAAUGUGUAAAUGAUGUCAUCAUACAGACGAGCUUAGAGCUCUUCAGUGGAAAGGCUGUAUCGAUGUCAUUUGUUUAGCAAGUAAUCAUCAAAUGUCUGCCAUGUGCCGGCAGCUAUGAAGGCAGUAAACAGUCAAGGUCUCUGCCCUUCAGGACCUUAACAUUUUGUUGGGGGAGAGAGAUAGUAAAUAAAUAUGUAGUGUGUUGGAUGGUGAUGAAUUCUUGAAAAAUAAAGGAGUAAGGGUGAUAUCCACAGUGGAGGGCAGGGUGUUGUUUUCUGUGGGGUGGUCUGGGAGACCUCUGCUUAGAUGACAUUAUCUAAAAGAAUAGAAAUUUGUUUGUUUUUAUCUUUUAAAAUCUCAAAGAAGGGAGUGCAUGUUCAGGGCAACUUGAAUCUAUGCUCUUGGGUUACCCCCUCCCCCAAAAAAAAACACCUCAAAGAAAUACAAGCUGUGAUAGAUAACAAUGUUAAGAAAAAAAUGUUUUUAUAGCCUAGGAUGUGGCAUUGGAUAUGGUUAUUUGCAUCGAAUACCUACACGCCCAUUUGAGGAAGGAAAGAAAAUUUCUCUUCCAGGACAAAUGGCUGGUACACCUAUUACACCUCUUAAAGAUGGGUUUACAGAGGUCCAGCUGUCCUCAGUUAAUCCCCCGUCUUUGUCACCACCAGGAACUACAGGAAUUGAACAGAGUCUGGCUGGACUUUCUAUUAGCUCAACUCCACCAGCUGUCAGUAGUGUUCUCAGUACAGGUGUACCAACAGUACCGUUAUUGCCACCACAAGUAAACCAGUCCCUCACUUCUGUGCCACCAAUGAAUCCAGCUACUACAUUACCAGGUCUGAUGCCUUUACCAGCGGGACUGCCCAACCUCCCCAACCUCAACCUCAACCUCCCAGCACCACACAUCAUGCCAGGGGUUGGCUUACCAGAACUUGUAAACCCAGGUCUGCCACCUCUUCCUUCCAUGCCUCCCCGAAACUUACCUGGCAUUGCACCUCUCCCCCUGCCAUCCGAGUUCCUCCCGUCAUUCCCGUUGGUUCCAGAGAGCUCUUCUGCAGCAAGCUCAGGAGAGCUGCUAUCUUCCCUCCCGCCCACCAGCAACGCACCCUCCGACCCUGCCACAACUACUGCAAAGGCAGACGCUGCCUCCUCACUCACUGUGGAUGUGACGCCCCCCACUGCCAAGGCCCCCACCACCGUUGAGGACAGAGUUGCCGACUCCACUCCAGUCAGCGAGAAGCCUGUUUCUGCGGCUGUGGAUGCCAAUGCUUCUGAGUCACCUUAACUUUGAACCAUUCUUUGGAAUUGGCGUGGUAUAUUUAACCACGGGAGCGUGUCUGGAAACGCAAACUAUCAUUAAUUUCAUACUAGUUUGUACCGUAUCUGUAGGCAUCCUGUAAAUAAUUCCAAGGGGAAAACUAAACGAGGACGUGGGUUGUAUCCUGCCAGGUUGAGUGGGGCUCACACGCUAGGGUGAGAUGUCAGAAAGCGCUUGUAUUUUAAACAACCAAAAAGAAUUGUAAGGGUGGCUUGCUGCCAGGCUUGCACUGCCGUUCCUGGGGGUGUGCAUCUUCGGGAAAGGUGGUGGCGGGGCGUCCACUAGGUUUCCUGUCCCCUGCUGCUCCUUCCGUAAGAAAAUGAAAUAUUCUAUGCCUAAUACUCACACGCAACAUUUCUUGUACUUUGUAAGUCGUUUGCGAGAAUGCAGACCACCUCACUAAACUGUAAACGGUAAAGAGAUUUUUACUUUUGGUCU
rnacentral:sRNA from 1 species